ACCAUCCUGUUCCCUUCUCCAUGGGAUCUGACACUGGUCUUAGUGGUUGUAAAAGGAGGAAGAGUAAUAGAAGCUGGCCUCAAAGGGCUAGUAGUCAACCAGGAAGCACAUGGACUAGUUUCAAGCAAGG